AAACUGUUCAGAAUUUCACACUGAAAUUUCUCUCUUAUCCAUAUUCAUUUGCAUUUCUUGAGAUACUGGAAAUUGUGCAAAGUUCACUUCAAAAAUGUGGAGAUUUUUGGCAUUACUUUCGAUAAUAGUACUCAUGCUUGCUACCGUUCAAUGUACCGUUUUGCGUUCACCAUUUCCCAUAGCUGAUGCAACAAAGCGCAUUCAAAAAGAGCACUUGUCCAAUGGAAAAGGUCCAGUGAUUGAGGCGGUUUCCACCGAUUCAUCCAAUGAUGAUGUACAGAGAAUCUAUAUUAGUGAACAAAGUAAUAAGCAAAAGUCAGCAUCGACUGCGAAGGAUGAGAUGCCACUUGUUGUUAAAGGACAAUAUAUACAUAUGCAUCUGUGCUACUUCAAAAUCUGCAGCAUCAUAAGAGCACCAGACUGGAAAUGAGACUGUCAAACGAGCAGCCGUCAAACGAAAAUAAAUAACAAUUUGAAAAUAAUAAUUAUUAUAAUUAGUGACGAAACUUUGUUUUGAAUACAAUAACAAUGUGAUUACAAUGAUGAUGAUAUACGGAAUGUAACAGAAUAUUUGGAUUAAAUUUCAAUUUUGAAUCUGGUCACUAAUUUAAAUCUACAUAUCCAAUUUAAGUGUAUCAAACAUUAAACUGUUUUUUUGUUUAAUUCUAUAAAAAUGUAAAUUUAUAAUGAAUAUUGUGUGAAACCUAUA